ensembl:lncRNA
CUUUAUACUGGCUCAGUGUUCAGUACCUCAGAGAUGAGUCUUUAUACUGGCUCAGUGUUCAGUACCUCAGAGAUGAAGCUUUAUACUGGCUCAGUUUUCAGUACCUCAGAGAUGAAGCUUUAUACUGGCUCAGUUUUCAGUACCUCAGAGAUGAAGCUUUAUACUGGCUCAGUGUUCAGUGCCUCAGAGAUGAAGCUUUAUACUGGCUCAGUGUUCAGUACCUCAAAGAGGAAGCUUUAUACUGGCUCAGUGUUCAGUACCUCAAAGAGGAAGCUUUAUACUGGCUCAGUGUUCAGUGCCUCACUAACUCAGAGAUGAAGCUUUAUACUGGCUCAGUGUUCAGUACCUCAGAGAUGAAGCUUCAUACUGGCUCAGUGUUCAGUACCUCACUAGCUCAGAGAUGAAGCUUUAUACUGGCUCAGUGUUCAGUACCUCAGAGAUGAAGCUUUAUACUGGCUCAGUGUUCAGUACCUCAGAGAGGAAGAUAUAUACAGGGUCACUGCCAGUACCACAUUUACAAUGUGCAGGGGUAAUGGAGUAUUGAGGUAGAUAUGGACAUGUUGUCAAGGAUACUGGAACAUUGAGGUAGAUAGGGACAUAUAUGCAGGGAUACUGGAGUAUUGAGGUAGAUAGGGACAUAUAUGCAGGGAUACUGGAGUAUUGAGGUAGAUAGGGACAUAUAUGCAGGGAUACUGGAGUAUUGAGUUAGAUAUGGACAUAUAGGCAGGGAUACUGGAGUAUUGAGGUAGAUAUGGACAUAUAGGCAGGGAUACUGGAGUAUUGAGGUAGAUAUGGACAUAUAGGCAGGGAUACUGGAGUAUUGAGGUAGAUAUGGACAUAGGCAGGGAUACUGGAGUAUUGAGGUAGAUAUGGACAUAUAGGCAGGGAUACUGGAGUAUUGAGGUAGAUAUGGACAUAUAGGCAGGGAUACUGGAGUAUAAAGGGAUUUCUUGAAAGUGACUGGUAGCAGAAAAUAAUGACUGGUAUAUAAAUAAUAAUAUUAAUAAUGUUAAUAAUAAUAUUAUUAUGAAUAAUGAUAAUGAUAAUAUGUAAUAAUGAUAAUGACAAUAAUAAUAAUGAUAAUAACACCAAUGAUCAUAAUAAUAAUAAUAUUAUGAAUAAUAAUAAUGAUAAUAUUAUUAAUAAUACAAUAAUAAUAUAAAUAAUAAUAAUGAUAAUAUAUUAAUAAUAAUGCUGACAAUAAUGAUAAUAUAACGAUAAUAAUGAUAAUAUCAAUAAUAAUUAUGAUAAUAAUAAUGAACAUAUAAUGAUAAUAUUAAUAAUAAUUAUGAUAAUAAUAAUAAUGGUAAUAUAACGAUAAUAAUGAUG